GACUUUGGUAGCAAAGCGUUCCUGGUCCUUCCUACUUGACGCAGGCAGUGACAGCCAUGUCCCAGACUGAGAAAGCUAUGCAAAGGGUAUAUAUUCAAGAUUCCAAUGCGUUGGUCAAAGAAGGUGCAGUCCCUAUGGGAAGCUCAUCUCAGUGAACCUCACGAAGGUGCCAGGGGAUGUACCCGGAUUUGGAUGAAUCCAGGGAUCCCAGGAAGAAACACUCUGAUCUAAGAGACUUUUUGAAGUUGUACAGACCUUAGAGAUAAGCUGCCCAGCCCUCAGAUUCACCCAAGACAAGUGAGCUGCCUGGGAAGUUGAGAGAUUGACUUAAGCUUUGCCGCCCACAGAUGUUUUGAGAUAUGACUAAUCUUUUAAAUUCACUUUGAAAAUGAUUAAAGACUGUAUAUAUCUUCCCUCUCUAAUCCUCUCCUUUUUAAGUUUUCUUUCUUUCUUUUUUUUU